CGCUGGCGGCAGGCCUAACACAUGCAAGUCGAGCGGAUGACAGGAGCUUGCUCCUGAAUUCAGCGGCGGACGGGUGAGUAAUGCCUAGGAAUCUGCCUGGUAGUGGGGGACAACGUUUCGAAAGGAACGCUAAUACCGCAUACGUCCUACGGGAGAAAGCAGGGGACCUUCGGGCCUUGCGCUAUCAGAUGAGCCUAGGUCGGAUUAGCUAGUUGGUGAGGUAAUGGCUCACCAAGGCGACGAUCCGUAACUGGUCUGAGAGGAUGAUCAGUCACACUGGAACUGAGACACGGUCCAGACUCCUACGGGAGGCAGCAGUGGGGAAUAUUGGACAAUGGGCGAAAGCCUGAUCCAGCCAUGCCGCGUGUGUGAAGAAGGUCUUCGGAUUGUAAAGCACUUUAAGUUGGGAGGAAGGGUUGUAGAUUAAUACUCUGCAACUUUGACGUUACCGACAGAAUAAGCACCGGCU
rnacentral:rRNA from 1 species